rnacentral:snoRNA from 1 species
UGAUUAUGAUGAUAAAUUCUAAGGCUUGUUUCUCAAAACAUUCGCAGUGGCCGCCUAAGAGCUUUCGCCUUCGCCAGGCUUGAGAGCUUGUGCUGCUUCUAUCCUUCCUUGGAUGUCUGAAUCA